AUCGGUGACGGUUCAAAAUACGUUAAUAUAUCACGAAUCUCAUGUGGUCCGGGGCAUGGAAUAAGUAUCGGAAGCUUAGGUCGAUAUGGAACCAAAGAAACGGUGGAAGAUGUUGUUGUUCAAGAUUGUACUUUUAGAGAAACAACUAAUGGGGUUAGAAUCAAGACAUGGCAGGGAGGAAGAGGACAUGUGCGAAAUGUUUUGUUUGAACGUAUAAAACUACAUGGAGCAACCCGACCUAUUAUUAUCGACCAAUUUUAUUGCCCUCAUAGACAAU